UACGUAGGGGGCAAGCGUUGUCCGGAUUUAUUGGGCGUAAAGAGCGUGUAGGCGGCUUUACAGGUCCGUUGUGAAAACUCGAGGCUCAACCUCGAGACGCCGGUGGAAACCGUAAGGCUAGAGUCCGGAAGAGGAGAGUGGAAUUCCUGGUGUAGCGGUGAAAUGCGCAGAUAUCAGGAAGAACACCCGUGGCGAAGGCGGCUCUCUGGAACGCAACUGACGCUGAGACGCGAAAGCGUGGGGAGCAAACAGG
rnacentral:rRNA from 1 species